AAGUCGUAACAAGGUUUCCGUAGGUGAACCUGCGGAAGGAUCAUUCACAUCAUUAUGAAUACAUGGUAUAUCCACGUAUCCAUGUACUCUUUUCUUCUUUUGAACGCUACAAUUGAUGGUUUGUGCAGCGCAGUAAUUUGUGCUGCACAGAUUUGUGAGAAUCAGGUGGAAUAACUUUGGUAGGGGGACACGGUUGGGUUAACUGACCGUGUUUCUCUAUGUUUUUGCGCUCCCUUUUUCUUAGAUCUCUCCACAUCGAUUAUUAUUGCGUUCUAACCCAGUUAUUUCACCGACCCUUUUUAUUAUUUAUUAAGUAUAACAUUCAUAAUCAAUUGCAACUAACAACGUAAGUAAGUUACGUGUGUAAGAAACAAACUAAAAACAAAGAACAACUCUUUGCAAUGGAUAUCUUGGUUCUC
rnacentral:misc_RNA from 1 species